rnacentral:rRNA from 1 species
UUGAUCCUGGCUCAGGAUGAACGCUGGCGGUCUGCUUAACACAUGCAAGUCGAACGCAACCUUCGGGUUGAGUGGCGGACGGGUGAGUAACGCGUGAGAAUCUGCCUUGGGGUCGGGGACAACCACUGGAAACGGUGGCUAAUACCGGAUAAGCCUUUGGGUAAAAAAUUUAUUGCCCCAAGAGGAGCUCGCGUCUGAUUAGCUAGUUGGUGAGGUAAAAGCUCACCAAGGCAGCGAUCAGUAGCUGGUCUGAGAGGACGAUCAGCCACACUGGGACUGAGACACGGCCCAGACUCCUACGGGAGGCAGCAGUGGGGAAUUUUCCGCAAUGGGCGAAAGCCUGACGGAGCAAGACCGCGUGAGGGAGGAAGGCUCUUGGGUUGUAAACCUCUUUUCUCAGGGAAGAAGCUCUGACGGUACCUGAGGAAUCAGCCUCGGCUAACUCCGUGCCAGCAGCCGCGGUAAUACGGAGGAGGCAAGCGUUAUCCGGAAUUAUUGGGCGUAAAGCGUCCGCAGGUGGCGAUUCAAGUCUGCUGUCAAAGCACGGGGCUUAACUCCGUUAAGGCAGUGGAAACUGAAUAGCUAGAGUGCCGUAGGGGUAGAGGGAAUUCCCGGUGUAGCGGUGACAUGCGUAGAGAUCGGGAAGAACAUCGGUGGCGAAAGCGCUCUACUGGACGGCAACUGACACUCAGGGACGAAAGCUAGGGGAGCGAAUGGGAUUAGAUACCCCAGUAGUCCUAGCUGUAAACGAUGGAUACUAGGUGUAGCUUGUAUCGACCCGAGCUGUGCCGAAGCUAACGCGUUAAGUAUCCCGCCUGGGGAGUACGCACGCAAGUGUGAAACUCAAAGGAAUUGACGGGGGCCCGCACAAGCGGUGGAGUAUGUGGUUUACUUCGAUGCAACGCGAAGAACCUUACCAGGGCUUGACAUGUCCGGAAUC